rnacentral:lncRNA from 1 species
GUAUGGCUGGCAAUGGUGAAGGGUCCAGGGGGCUAAGAAGGCUUAUGAGAAGAGGGAUGUUUGCUGACCUCAACUCUACCACAAGGUGACAAAAUUGUCCACUGUUUCCAUCAUGAAUUAUUUCAUUUAAGUUAAGGGAAGACUAUAAUGUCAUUACAUUCCUGGAUAAACAGACCCAAUGUCAUUUAUUUAGUAUUUUCCCAUUUGCCACUGUCAUUCUUGAAAUAAAAUAGAUCCAAACAUGGGGAGUUCCAUUUAUUAGCACCAAGGAGAAGCCCUGGGCUAGAAAGUUGCUGGAAGCCCCAAGGCUGUCAUGGAUGCUGUUUCUUGGGAUGGAGAGUCCUGAGAGGCUGGACGUGCUGCCUGGUACAUGGAAGGUCAAGGAGGAAGGAGGGUUGGAAGCCAGGAGUAUGGCCAUGGAGGGAGUCUCCAAAGUCCUAGUCAGGGGUGGAACCCAGACCGGAAGUUGGGGUAGAAGACAGGGAUGGGAAGUGACAGCUGCUAACAUUUAUGGAGGGCGAGAAAUAGGCCAAGGACUGUGCUAAUUAUUUUUUAUGCUGUAUUUUUGUUCUUUUUCCAAUUAUAUGGAAUUGGCACUACUGUCAUUUUUUUCUAUCUUACAGAUAGGGAAACUGAGAUUUUGAGCUAAAAUAAUGUUGCCAAAGUAGUCACACGCAUAAGAGGCAGAAAUGUGAUUUCAACAGUGGAUAUUUGACCACAGAGCCAUCCUCCUAACCAUUCACCCAACAGAAGUGUGUUGAGGCGCGGUGGCUCACCCCUGUAAUCCCAGCACUUUGGGAGGCCAAAGGGGGCUGAUCACAUGAGGCCAGGAGUUUGAGACCAGCCUGGCCAACAUGGCAAAACCCCAUCUCUACUAAAAAUACAAAAAUUAGCCAGGUGUAGUGGUACAUAUCUGUAAUCCCAGCUACUCGGGAGGCUCAGGCACGAGAAUUGCUUGAGCCCGGGAGGCGGAGUUGCAGUGAGCCGAGUUCACACCACUGCACUCCAGCCUGGGCGACAGAGUGGGACUUUGUCUCAAGAACAAACAAACAAACAAAAAGGUGUGUUGUGUGCCUGGCUUUCUUCUAAGUGCAGGAGGUAUAGCAGAUAAGACAUACAGAAACCCCUGCCUCAUGACAUUCCUGUGGGGCAGGACAGACAAUUCCCUAGGGAGGACAUGGCCUAUGCUGGGUAUGGUUGGUUAUAGCAAACAUGGCUGCAGGAGUCCCUUCCAUCUGUGACCCUUCCGCAGAGUGACUUUGAUGCUUCCCCCAGCAAGAGAUGGGGUUAGGCCUCCCCUUGAUUCUGGGCUGGCUCUGGGACUUGCUUUGGCCAACAGAAUAUAGCAGAAAUGACAUCUUGGCACUUGUGGGCUUAACCUUGCAAGGGCUUGCAGCUUCCACUUUUGCCUCUUGGAAGCUACUGCCAUGUGAAAAAGCUGGUCUGGUCUGUGGGUGCUGAGAGGCCACGUGGACAGAGGACCGAGGUGCCCAGGUGACAGCCAGCACUGAGUCCAGCUCCCUGCUGACCAUCAUUGCAUGGGAGACCCCAGCUGACACCGUGUGGAGCAGCCAAUUCACAGAAUC